UACGUCAGGACGUGGUCUGGGGUGUGGGGCUGAGCCAUGGGCCAAGAGCAGUUUAGCAGCCAGUGCUGGGGUCUGUGGGGCAGGACCCACGGGCAGCGUCCUAUGUGGUACCAAGUGGGGAUGGAGCCAGGCCCAGGGGAAAUGCCCCUGCAAUCCCAGCCACCCCUGGACAUAGCAACAGGGGCCCUGGGCUGGCCAGGGUUAGCUUAUUGGCCUCUGGUCCUCACUCUGAUCUUAGGUGCACUGGCCAUCACAAUCCUGCUGACCGAGAGGGGCUACUCCCCUGAGGAACCCCAGGUCAAACCCCAGACAGAUGGACACAGAGCCCCGGACUCCGGUGCGGCUGCGCUGGCUGAUGUCGUGCACCUGCUGGACGCUGUGAUGGAGAAGUUGGGGAGGAAACUUCAGUGCCUGGAGACACGGAGACCCGCCCAGUGUUGUCAAGGACCCCUGUGACCACCAGGACCCCGAGAUGGGAGCCAGCUGGAUGGGGCCCCCUUUCUGGACUGACUGCAAUAAAGAGCCUUGGGAGCUGGA